AGAGUUUGAUCAUGGCUCAGGAUGAACGCUAGCGGGAGGCUUAACACAUGCAAGUCGAGCGGGAAGGGUAGCAAUACCCUGAGAGCGGCGCACGGGUGCGUAACGCGUAUGCAACCUGCCUUAUACAGGGGGAUAGCCCAUGGAAACGUGGAUUAACACCCCAUAGGACUGGAUUUUCGCAUGGGAAUUCAGUUAAAAUUACGGUGGUAUAAGAUGGGCAUGCGUCUGAUUAGGUAGUUGGUAGGGUAACGGCCUACCAAGCCGACGAUCAGUAGGGGUUCUGAGAGGAUUACCCCCCACACUGGUACUGAGACACGGACCAGACUCCUACGGGAGGCAGCAGUGAGGAAUAUUGGUCAAUGGGCGAGAGCCUGAACCAGCCAUCCCGCGUGCAGGAUGACGGCCCUAUGGGUUGUAAACUGCUUUUCUGCUCCAAGAAACCUGAUUACGUGUAAUCAGUUGACGGUAGAGUAGGAAUAAGCAUCGGCUAACUCCGUGCCAGCAGCCGCGGUAAUACGGAGGAUGCAAGCGUUAUCCGGAUUCAUUGGGUUUAAAGGGUGCGCAGGUUGGAAUGUAAGUCAGUGGUGAAAUACUGCCGCUUAACGGUAGAACUGCCAUUGAUACUGCGUUUCUUGAGUAUGGUUGAGGUAGGUGGAAUGUGUUGUGUAGCGGUGAAAUGCAUAGAUAUGACACAGAACGCCGAUUGCGAAGGCAGCUUACUAAGCCAUUACUGACGCUGAGGCACGAAAGCGUGGGGAUCGAACAGGAUUAGAUACCCUGGUAGUCC
rnacentral:rRNA from 1 species